GUGCCAAUGAAAUUCUAAAUUAAAGAAUAAACAGAAGCAAUUCACCAGUAAUACUUCAUUUCCUUUGUAUUUACUACAUGACAGCUGUAUCAGUAAAGUAGGAUUUGAAGGUGAUAUAUAAAAGUGUCCAAUGCAUGGCAGGGAUGCAAGUGCUUCUAUGUGUGGAGAUGUGGAAGAACAUGAAGGUGUCUUCAUGAAAAGGAAUGGACUUGUGCUGGGCCCUUAAGGAUAGUAAGGAUUUUCAUAGAUGGUUAGGAAAACUUUUCAAAUUGUUGAACAUAAAGGCAGGAAUGAGCAAGAACAUGGCUGAGUAAUAAAAAGGAAACUGACCUACCUGUACAGUAAAGGCUCAGAUCCUGUAUGGUCCAAAAAAGACUUGUCCUUGACUAGCUCCUUAGAGGCAGACUAAGCAAUUGGAAUGUCCAGUCUGAUAAGAGUGCUUUUGUAUGCCUAAGCCCUGGGCCAUGUGGUAUCAUUUUAGUCUCUGGGAGACUAGAGAUUCAGAAGUCCUGUGGGAGCUGCACAUGCAUGUUACUCAACCAGAUAAAAACCCAGGAGAACAGGAAGGCUCAAGUGAGCACCUCUAGGGAAGCAAUACUUUGCAUGUGUUGUCAAAUACUGUUACUAGGAGAAUUAGUUGCUGUCUGUAGCCCCACUAAAGUCAACAACUGGUGCUUGUGCUUGGUUUCUCCUUGAUUUCAUCCUAUGUACCUUUUCCUUUUGCUGAUUUUCAUCUGUACCCUUUUGCUUCAAUACAUGGUAAUCAUGAGUACGGCAGCAUUUCUGAGCCCUGUGAAUUCUGGUGAAUCUUUAACUUCUAGAUGGUUUUGAAGACCCCCAUCUCACUAAAUUUUUCACUGAAAUUUUUGAAACAAGGGAAAAGAUUACCUUAAAUAUUAGGACGAAGUUUAUGCUUCAUUCACAGAGUAACAAAGUAGGGAGAUUAAAAAUGCAAGUUGUGUUAAAGGAACAUGGAUUCAGUGGCAUUGAACAGAACUAUUAGCCUGAAUGAAAAAAUGAUUUUAAGUGAGGAGACUACUGCAGUAAUUACCUGGCCAUUUGACAGAUUUUAUGUCAGAUUUUCAGAUGUGACACAGGCUGGAAAUAUAGGGUUUCAAAAAUAUGCAUAUAAGCUUAAAAAAGGAAAUUAUAAUAUUUUGGAAUGGUGAUUCUCUGUUCUAAGAUUGCAAAAGAAGGAAAACCACUAUUAGCCUGCAAUAAUUUGUUCAGUAAUGAGAAGCACCAAAUGCCAACACUGUGCUAAGAUCUGAGAACUUAGGGAGAUAUUUAGGGCUUUAAGAUCUACCAUAGGCUGCAGUGAUUGGUGAGCAGGUUCAUAUAGCAAUUGUAACAGUGAUAAUGAAUGUAUUAUUAUCAGUAUAGGCAUAUAUGCUUAUAUUUUAGGGCACGUGGUGAAAGACAAAAAUAUUUCAGUCUGACAGCAGUAUCCAAAUUACAGAUUAGAGAACUAAAGACCUGUCAUACCCAAAGCAAUGAUCUGGAAAUGCCUUCCCUAACUGCCAACAGAUAAGUAAUGAAAAUUGAAUCAAUAGCUUUAAGUGAGUCUAUGCAUCUUAAUGCCUUUCAAGCUACAUGUCUUUCUUACUGCCAAAAUAAAUAAUCUAAAAAUCAUGUUGAAUCAGUGUAAAAAAAAGAAGUGCAAUUGCCCUGGGGGAUUAAAUGUCCAGGAGCACAUUAUAUUCACUUUGUACAGCUAUUGGAUGUAAUAAUAGAAUCACGAGCCACGAACUGAAUUCUAAGUGGCUGCUAUGGAGCUCUCUAGAGGCAGAAUUUGCUGCAGCUCUAACUGGCUCCUCAGCCCAAAUAGCAUCUUUGAGAUGGCUUUAAUUUUAGCUUUCCAGAAAUAUUCAUAUGACAUGUUUAGGGUCUCCAGUAUUAUUACCAUGAAGUUGGAACUUUACCCAAAUUAUAAAGUACUGGUCCCUGUCAAGUUGAAAUGAUGUUAAUAUUUUCAUUUAUGUUUACACUAUUUAAGAGAUCAUAACUAACAAUCUCAGGAUAAUUUAAUUUUCAAAUCAUGAAUGAGUUUUUAUAUAACAAAG
rnacentral:lncRNA from 1 species